UACGUAGGUGGCAAGCGUUGUCCGGAAUUAUUGGGCGUAAAGCGCGCGCAGGCGGUUAUGUAAGUCUGAUUUUAAAGCCCGGGGCUCAACCUCGGUUAGCAUUGGAAACUGUGUAACUUGAGUGCAGAAGAGGAAAGCUGUAUUCCACGUGUAGCGGUGAAAUGCGUAGAGAUGUGGAGGAACACCAGUGGCGAAGGCGACUUUCUGGUCUGUAAAUGAGGCUGAGGCGCGAAAGCGUGGGGAGCAAACAGG
rnacentral:rRNA from 1 species